rnacentral:rRNA from 1 species
GUAACAUAUAGUUAAUGUACCUUCAAGACUGGGAUAGCCACUGGAAACGGUGAUUAAUACUAGAUAUACCUUCAUAUCACAAGCUAUGAAGGGAAACGUUUUUUCGCUUGAAGAUCAGACUAUAUCCCAUCAGUUAGUUGGUAGGGUAAUGGCCUACCAAGGCAAUGACGGGUAGCGGGUUUGAGAGGAUGAUCCGCCACACUGGUACUGAGACACGGACCAGACUCCUACGGGAGGCAGCAGUGAGGAAUAUUGCACAAUGGAGGAAACUCUGAUGCAGCAACGCCGCGUGGAGGAUGACACAUUUCGGUGUGUAAACUCCUUUUAUGAGUCAAGAAAAUGACGGUCGCUCAUGAAUAAGCACCGGCUAACUCCGUGCCAGCAGCCGCGGUAAUACGGAGGGUGCAAGCGUUACUCGGAAUCACUGGGCGUAAAGGACGCGUAGGCGGGAUGUCAAGUCAGGUGUGAAAUCCUAUGGCUCAACCAUAGAACUGCAUUUGAAACUGGCAACCUAGAGUAUGGGAGGGGGAGAUGGAAUUAGUGGUGUAGGGGUAAAAUCCGUAGAUAUCACUAGGAAUACCUAAAGCGAAGGCGAUCUCCUGGAACAUAACUGACGCUAAGGCGUGAAAGCGUGGGGAGCAAACAGGAUUAGAUACCCUGGUAGUCCACGCCCUAAACGAUGAACACUAGUCGUCGUGAUGCUUGUCAUUGCGGUGAUGCACUUAACAGAUUAAGUGUUCCGCCUGGGGAGUACGGUCGCAAGAUUAAAACUCAAAGGAAUAGACGGGGACCCGCACAAGUGGUGGAGCAUGUGGUUUAAUUCGAAGAUACGCGAAAAACCUUACCUGGGCCUUGACAUUGAUAGAAUACUGUAGAGAUACGGUAGUGCCCUUCGGGGAGCUUGAAAACAGGUGCUGCACGGCUGUCGUCAGCUCGUGUCGUGAGAUGUUGGGUUAAGUCCCGCAACGAGCGC